CCUACGGGAGGCAGCAGUAGGGAAUAUUGCUCAAUGGGCGAAAGCCUGAAGCAGCGACGCCGCGUGGGGGAUGAAGGUUUUCGGAUUGUAAACCCCUUUUGUUAGGGAAGAUAAGGCCGGUAUCUAACGAAUAAGCACUUGGUAACUCCGUGCCAGCAGCCGCCGGAAUACGGAGGGGGCAAGCGUUACUCGGAAUCACUGGGCGUAAAGAGCGCGUAGGCGGGAUAGCAAGUCAGGUGUGAAAUCCUAGGGCUUAAACAUUGAAAUGCUUUUGAAACUGGUAAUCUGGAGUAUGGGAGAGGAAGGGGGAAUUCCUGGUGUAGGGGUAAAAUCCGUAGAGAUCAAGAGGAACA
rnacentral:rRNA from 1 species